GCCAGUGAGGCAUAAUGGUUUGAGUGUCAGACUCUGACUCUGGAGACCAGGGUUCAAAUCCCAGCCCUGCCA